rnacentral:rRNA from 1 species
CCAUAUCAAUAAGCGGAGGAAAAGAAAAUAACAAUGAUAUCCCUAGUAACGGCGAGUGAAGAGGAUAGAGCUCAAAGUUGGAACCUGCUUGGUGUAGCUAAGCCGGAUUGUAAACUAGAGAAGUGUUUUCCUGGCUGGCCGAGUAAAAAAGUCCUUUGGAACAGGGCAUCAUAGAGGGUGAGAAUCCCGUCUUUGGCUCGAGCAUUAGUCUUUUGUGAUACAUUUUCAAUGAGUCAGGUUGUUUGGGAAUGCAGCCUAAAUUGGGAGGUAAAUCUCUCCUAAAGCUAAAUAUUUGCGAGAAACCGAUAGCGAACAAGUACCGUGAGGGAAAGAUGAAAAGAACUUUGAAAAGAGAGUUAAACAGUAUGUGAAAUUGUUAAAAGGGAACCGUUUGGAGCCAGUCUGGCUUUCCUAUAAUCAAUCUAGGCUUCGGCCUUGAUGCACUUGUAGGUUAUCGCCGGCCAACGACAAUUGGGAUCGCGAGGGAAAAAACCUUUGGAAAUGUAGCCAUUCUGCAAAGUUUGGUGUUAUAGUCCUUGGGAAAAUACCUUGUGCUCGAUUGAGGAUCGCAGUGAAUGCCUUUCGGGGCAGGAUGUGGUGAGGUAGGUUUGCUUGACCUAAGGUGACUUUCGGGUUGCUUUAGCGAUGGCUUACUCCUUGCUUCUAUCUUUAUUCGCUUAGGUUGUUGGCUUAAUGACUCUAAAUGACCCGUCUUGAAACACGGACCAAGGAGUCCACCAUUAGUGCGAGUAUUUGGGUGCCAAACUCAUCUGCGUAAGGAAACUGAUUGAUAUGAAUCCCUUUUUAUACGGGGGAGGCAAUAUCGUCCGGCGUUGACGUUUUAUACUGAAAUGACCGAGAUAAAGCACUAAUGAUGGGACCCGAAAGAUGGUGAACUAUGCCUGAAUAGGGUGAAGCCAGAGGAAACCCUGGUGGAGGCUCGUAGCGAUUCUGACGUGCAAAUCGAUCGUCAAAUUUGGGUAUAGGGGCGAAAGACUAAUCGAACCAUCUAGUAGCUGGUUCCUG